rnacentral:lncRNA from 1 species
GAAUUCACUUUUGCCUUCGGAAGUCUAUGCAAAAUGUGUGCUUGCCCUCUGACUGCAUGACAGCUGCUGUGACCGUGGCUGAGGACAAAGGGCAGUUGCCUGAUGUGCUUCAUUAUUCCUGCUGUCGUGCACAGCUUUGUUAGGUGGUCCUGAUCUGUCCAUCGUGAAUUGCAGAAUGGAGUACCAGCAUUUCUUAGCGGUCUGAAGUUUGAUUGCGAACCCAUGUGCUGUACUUUCAGUGAGCAACAACUCCUGAAUUCAGGCUGAUCUCAGUGCACAGCAAGUACCUGCCGGGCACCGCGGCCCUGCUUCAAUGACGGGAUGGAGAACCUGUGAUCUGGAGGAAUUCCGCUGUCAUUUCAGGUGAACGGCAGUUCUGCAAGUUUGUGGUUUUGACUUCUCAUCCCGGCGGUUUGGAUCAGUGCUCUGAGGAUGUGGACCCAGGAAUGUGACAAUGAGUUUCACUUUUAAUGUCUUCAUUUGGACACCAAGAAAAUCACUAACUAAAUUUAGGCUGAAAUGCCUUAGGAUGAUAUUUGCUGUUCUUUAUUUAAAUCCAAAGAGUUUAUCACUAUGCAAACAUUUCAGAUGCUUAUUCUAGGAAACUCAUGGAAACAUGCUUUGUUAAAUAAUGUAUUUUCUAUUUUGGUUAUUUUUUUUUUCCCCCUCCUUCCUCUUUGUGUUACAGAAUGAAUGUAAAAGCUUUAAAACCCAGUAUUCACCACUCUGCAGUAGAUCUAAUAGAGUGGCAUUAUAUGAAGAGAUGCCAUGGAAACCGAAGUUGCUAAGACAAUCAGUGUCAAGCUUUCUAAUGUCCAGAAGUAAUGAGAUGACAGAAUUCAGUGUUGCACCGACUGCCAACCGCUGGCAACCAGGAUUGUUCUUAGCAGCACUCCCGUCUCCCACUGGAUCUCAUGGCAUCCUUGUCACAGCCUUACCAUUGGUACUAUCCAGUUGGUGAUAUGCCACUUGUCUUAAUGAAAGUUGGCACCUGGAGCCAGUAGAGGAGUCUGCACUUUGUGACCAACCAGCUGGCGAAAAAUCAGCGAAAUCAUUUCCACAGGAAACUGCUCUUUGCAUCUAUAAGCAGUGUGAAAGCAGAAUAAAGCAGAAACAUAUACUGUUUUUUUCUCA